GGUUUAUCAAAGUUUGCAGAAGAAACAGAAGUUCUUCACAGUUUCCCAAGAACAUAAAGUAUAUUUAAGUAUUAAAUUUUGAAGUUCUCCAUGAAAAGUAAAGAAGACUAAGUUUUGCAUUUAUCUUCAAAGUUCUUGUCUGUCAACGAGAGGUUGCUGCUGAUGGUUUCACAGAGUAAAAUGAAACAUAGUACAUAAAUGAGGACGACAGGUGAAGCCAAAGUGUUGUGUCCCAGCCUUCUUUUGGCUAAGUCAGCCCGAAAGUCAACCCAAACCUUGGAAAUGUGAUCUAAAAGUGAUAGGGGGAUGUAAACCUAAAUCAUUCCAUCAUCAACAUACAGCAGAGUUUGUC